AACGUAGGACGCGAGCGUUAUCCGGAGUUACUGGGCGUAAAGGGCGGGCAGGCGGGCUGGCCAGUUGGGUGUGAAAUCUCCCGGCUCAACCGGGAGGGGCCACUCAAAACAGUCGGUCUGGAGGGCAGCAGAGGUGCGUGGAAUUCCGGGUGGAGUGGUGAAAUGCGUAGAGAUCCGGAGGAACACCAGAGGCGAAAGCGGCGCACUGGGCUGCGACUGACGCUGAACCGCGAAAGCCAGGGGAGCGAACGGG
rnacentral:rRNA from 1 species